CUCUGUAUCAUUAUUGGAGCACAGUAUAAAUUUGCAUGGCUACAAUGAACGAUGAAGAAGGCCAUAUCUACAAAAUCUAUCACUAUCUCUGCUAAUUACCAGUUCCUACAGUGGCGAAUUCCUUUCUCUGGUUGCUGAUUUAGACGCUGGGUCGCUGUUUCGGAGAUCCAUCUUCUGAGGUUUUGGGAGGCUCGGAUUGGUCUCAAGAUGUGGAUGCUCUAGCUCUCUCAUUCUUCAGCGGCAAAGACAAAUCUCUAGGCUCUCUCUCGAUAUUUUUCCACCAGAUUGGGUUUUUGUGUAACUUUUAUUGUCUUU
rnacentral:lncRNA from 1 species